UUCUAAUUGAGAUAUAAAGAUAUUUUUAUUUUAUUUUGAAAAAAAAAAACCCAAAACAACUUGCUCUUAGAAUUUAUGUACAUGUGUCUUUUGAUAUACCUGUAUUACACAAGAUGCAUUAUCAGGAAGCCAUAAGGGGUCACUGAGUGCAAGAGGGAAAUUUUGUCUAAUCCUGAUGAAAUUUUGUGAUAAUUCUGAUAUAGUAUAUAAUUUAUUUAUUAAUUACAUCUCUUCUCCAGACUCAUCCCUUACAUUUUAACACUUCGGGUUUUGAAAGCUGAAACGUUACAUUGCCAUUUUCCCAUCCAUUUGUAUUAACAUAAUUAUCUACACCAGAACUGCUGAAUGUUAUUUGAUAAAAUGUCACCGAGUGAAUCACAUGUUAUGUCUCUGAUCCCAAGGUCAUUAUCAAAAGGCCCCAAAGGUUAAAGCAUUAUAAGAUAAUAUUUUAUCCAGAGCCUAACACCUGAAUUGUUAUAUACAGUAUGAUAUAACUGCAUCGGUGGUGGUGUUUUUUCGUAACUGUCUCUUGUAUAUCUUAUCAGAAUCACAAGGAAGGAUUAUAUUGUCUUUGUCAAAGGUCAAAGCAUCAUAAGAUAUCCAUAGCAAAAUUUCCGUACUGUUGUACUUACAAUGAUAAAACGUUGUUGGUGAUGGUAUUUUUUUCAUUUUUUCAUGAUAGACUAUGUCUAGUUUAUCUUUUGACCUACUGAAGUCAUAUGACCUAACAAAGUCACAUAACAUAACUAGGUCAUGUGACUUUCAGUGAAGCUAUUAAGCUGAAAGUUUUACUGGUAAUUUUGUUCUUUUUUAAUUUAACUUUUAAUAGCUGUUAAAAGUGAUGUUUUUAUUCUCUGCAGAUGCUAUACAAUUUUUGCUAAUCAGUGUAAAUAUUACAGUAGAUAUCACAUUGUGAUAAUCAGCAUGCUUGUGAAGUCAUUGACUGAGGAAAGAACAAUAAUAAAGUUAUUUAUCAUUUUUAUGCUUUGCACUAGAUUAAACAGAACCUUUGUUGUUUUCAUUAUUCCUGCGAGAUAUUUUUGUGUGUACUAGACAAACUUCACUGUUGGUAACCCACAUCUGAUUCUUCUAGUUCUUAUUUAAUUGCAGAAUAUAAUGAGGUAACUGUGGCCUGUGUGGGUUACUGAGGUAACUGUGGCCUGUGUGGGUUACCGAGGUAACUGGCCUGUGUGGGUUACCAAGGUAACUGUGGCCUGUGUGGGUUACCGAGGUAACUAACGGUGUUCUGGUGGGUUACAGAUGUAUUUUUGGCCUGUGUAGGUUACCAAGGUAACUGGCCUUUGUGGGUUACCAAUGUAACUGGCCUGUGUGGGUUACCAAGGUAACUGACCUGUGUGGUCUACCAAGGUAACUGUGGCCUGUGUUGGUUACAGAGGUAACUAUGGCCUGUGUGGGUUACCAAGGUAAAUGUGGCUUCUGUGGGUUACGGAUGUAACUGUGGUCUGUGUGGGUUACCAAGGUAACUGGUCUGUGUGGGCUACCAAGGUAACUGUGGCCUGUGUGGGUUAUCAAGGUAACUGGCCUGUAUGGGUUACCAAGAUAACUGUGACCUGUGUGGGUUAGGGUGGAAACCAUGGCCUGUGUUGGUUACAGAGGUAACUGUGGCCUGUGUUGGUUACAGAGGUAACUGUGGCCUGUGUGGGUUACAGAGGUAACUGUGGCCUGUGUGGGUUACAGAGGUAACUGUGGCCUGUGUUGGGUACAGAGGUAACUGUGGCCUGUGUUGGUUACAGAGGUAACUGUGGCCUGUGUGGGUUACAGAGGUAACUGUGGCCUGUGUGGGUUACAGAGGUAACUGUGGCCUGUGUGGGUUAAGGAGGUAACUGUGGCCUGUGUUGGUUACAGAGGUAACUGUGGCCUGUGUUGGUUACAGAGGUAACUGUGGCCUGUGUGGGUUACAGAGGUAACUGUGGCCUGUGUGGGUUAAGGAGGUAACUGUGGCCUGUGUGGGUUAAUGAGGUAACUGUGGCCUGUGUUGGUUAACGAGGUAACUGUGGCCUGUGUUGGUUACAGAGGUAUCUGUGGCCUGUGUUGGUUACAGAAGUAACUGGCCUGUGUGUGUGAAGGAGGUAACUGUGGCCUGUGUUGGUUACAGAGGUAACUGUAGCCUGUGUUGGUUACAGAGGUAUCUGUGGCCUGUGUUGGUUACAGAGGUAACUGUGGCCUGUGUUGGUUACAGAGGUAUCUGUGGCCUGUGUUGGUUACAGAGGUAACUGGCUUUGUGGGUUAAGGAGGUAACUGUGGCCUGUGUUCGUUACAGAGGUUUACUGAUGGACAAACCUGUAAUUUGUACUGGAAAUCAUUGUUUUAAAAUGUUAGAGGAACAAUAUAUCAUUGAGUUUGUUUUGUUUUUUUCUUCAAAUUUUUUCCUGAAAUUGUAAUUUGACAUUUCCUCAUGAACUCCUCAUACAAAGAUACAAGAUUAUGUUUUCUAGGCGUUUUAUAGAUACAUUAUGUAAUAGUAAAGGAAAUACUAAUGUUAAAACCAACACUUCACAUAUUACACUGUAUCUUGUUAUUACCUGCUACCUAUUAUCCGUCAAGCCAGUUUUAGCUUGCCUAGUCGAAGUCCUCCAGGUGUCAGUAUUGUCUGUUGACAGCUAGGUUAAUUUUUGUAUUGUGUCAAUACUGAUGAGGCCAUAGCUAGGUAGUUCACAUGUGUGCUCCUUAUCACAAGAACUUUCCAUUGGUACAUUUUCAGACCUGCUGACCUUGACUUUGACUUUUGACCUAAUUUAAAAAAAAAAACCUUCAUGGUAUGUUAACUUUAUGCAGCAAGGUUUUCAUAUUUGAUGUGUAUUCCUUCUCACGAGUUCUUUCCAUUGGUACUGCAUUUACAGAUCUGUUGACCUUUGACCUACUUUAGAAAACUAGUUCUGAAUUUCAACCCACUUGGAGAGCUAUGUUGUCUUAAUUCUGACAACUUUUGUCAUGUGAAGGUUUGUGCAUGUUAAUAUAUUGCAAUUUUCAUUUAUGCAAGGAUAUUGCAACAUUACCAUAGCUGCACAUAUUGCUAUUUACCUGUAAAAGAAACUUAACAGAUGCCAAUUUAUAGAUAAAAAAAUGUUCUUCAAAGUUUGUAUUUUUUUCAUCAUUUUCUUGACCUUUAUGAGUGUGAAAAUUCUAUUUUUCUAUUUGUUGAAUUUAUUUUUAAUCAGAUAUCCAUCAUUUUGAAAAACUAAAAUUCUGUUGCAGUUAUUGUAAAGUUGUAAUGCUAGACUCACCAUACCUCUGGUAAUAGCACAUUCAUUCUCAAUCCUCCAGGGGUUAUAUGGAAGUUGUGUUGGGAAUCACUCUAAAAUUCAUGAUCGAUCAUCACAAUUUCUUAAUCAUGAUUAUUAAAUUCAUGAUCGAUCAUCACAAUUUCUUAAUCUUGAUUAUUUACAUGAUCAUGAACAGAAAGGGAAGUACUGUACCUGCUGUGAAUCUAUCAGUGACUUUAUUCAUUUUUCAAGUCUGUGUGAAGAUCUCAAAAACUCUUGAAAAUUUCUCUGUUAUACAUGUAAUCAAAUCAUGAUAAACCAUCGAACAUCAUGAUUGAUUAGUCCUAGUCAGAAGUAAAAUGGCUUAAUUGUGUGGAUUGUUGUUAUUCCUGGAGUUUCAAGGAUGCAAGUUUUAUAUACACUGUAUGUGGAAAUAAGUACUGAUAUUAUCUUUUGUUCAAUUAAUGAUAAUAAUAUACAUACACUAUAUUGAUGUAUGCAAGUCUGUUUACAGACAGAUCGACAUAAGUACAAUAAAAGAGGUUGCUGUUAAAAUGGU